UCUUCCCUGCUUAAAACACAUUCGAAAUAAAAUCCAAAGUCCAUGCCAUGUUGUGUGCAAAGUUUUAUAUUGCCUGUAAUUUACUUCAAAACACUUCAGUAUCAGCUGUGUAAUAUACCUUGUUUAAUCUAUUCUAAGAUGCAUAUUUUUCCACUUUUUAUCACCUCUGAAAUUGGGGUGAAUUUUACCAUUAAUGGUAUGUCAUAGUUUGAUGGAAAGCAAUUUUUCUUUCUUGUUGCAUGAAAGAAUGAUUGGCCUUACAACCUGUGGACAUCUUGGGUUCAUAGAAUCAUUGAUUUAAUUAAAUGUAUCAGUAUAAAAAAUAAUCUCUUGAAAUAUUGGUCUAGGAUGGGGGCAGUGGAGGUAGAAAGAAGGAAUGGAUUUAGUUUUUUUUUUUUUUUUUUUUUUUUUAGGGCCUCAUCUUCGACAUAUGGAAGUUCCCAGGCUAGGGUACAAAUGGGAGCUGUAGCCACUGGCCAACACACAGCUACAGCAAUGCCAGAUCCAAGCCAUGUCUGCAACCCACACCACACCUCACAGCAACGCUGGAUCCUUAACCCACUGUGGGAGGCCUGGGAUCGAACCCUCAUCCUCAUAGAUACUAGUUGGUUCUUAACUCACUGAGCCACUGACAGGAACUCCCUAGUUUAUCCAUAUUGAUAAACUAUUUAUACAACUCAUUGUAAAUUAGUUUUUAUUCACACUCUGAGGGUGGUUAGUUAGCAUUUGAAUUGUCCUAUUCAGGAAUGUCUACUCAGGAGUGGUUAGUUAGCGUUUGAAAGAUCCUAGCCAACAGCUUGACUGCAACCUCAGGAGAGACUCUCAGUCAGAACUAGCCAAGGAACCUACUCCCAGAUUCCUGACACACAGAAAUUAUGUGAGAUAAUACGUUUGUUUGUUUGUUUUUCCUAACAGUAGUUAAUUUACAAUGUUGUGCCAAUUUCUGCUGUACGUCAUAGUGACCCAGGCAUAUAUAUAUGUUUAUAUAUAUUUAUAAGGACACCAAUCAUAUUGGAUUAGAAGCCCACCCUACUCCAGUAUGACUCCAUUUUAACCAAUUACGUCCAAAUAAGGCUGCAUUCUAUGGUACUGGGGGUUCUGCAUAUGAGUUUUUGAGGAGACACAAUUCUACUCAUAACACUGGUUUUCUGGAGUUCCCACUGUGGUGCAACAAGAUUGGCAGCAUCUUGGGAGCACUGGGAAGCCGGUUCAAUCCCAAACCCAGCACAGGUUUAAGAAUCUGGCAUCUGCAGUUUAGGUUGCAACUAUGGCUCAGAUGUGAUCCCUGGGCCGGGCACUCCAUUUGCCUGGGGGUGGCCAAAAAAGAAAACAAACAAAAACAAAAAACAAAAACAAACAAAAAAUCCACUGGCCUUCUUGCUGUUCUUCUAGCACACCGAACUCAUUUCCGCCUCAGGUUCUUUAUAUGUAUUAGUUUUCUGUCUAGAACCCCAAAGAAGCAUGGCUGUUCCCUUCUCAGCAUGCAGGUAUCAUGUCAUAUGACAUCCCUUCACAGAGGUCUUCCCUGACUAUCCUGUCCUAUUCUGACUAUGCCCUUCCACCACAUACAACAUCAUCUCAUCCCUUGCCUCUUUCAAAUUUCUUCGUACUCAUCAUUAAUGGAAAUAAAUUCCUUUUUACUUGCUUUUAUCUGUCUCUACCACCAGAAAAUAAAUUUCAUAAGGACAGGGAGCUUAUCCAUCUUAUUUACUGCUGUAUCAUCAGCUCCUAGCACAGUACCUGUUAGUAAUUUUUUUUUUUUUUUUUUUUUUUGCUUUUUAGGGCAUCACCUGUGGCAUAUGGAAAUUCCCAGGCCAGGGGUCAAAUUGGAGCUGCAGCUGCCGGCCCUACACCACAGCCACAGCAACAUGGGAUCCAAGUUGUGUCUGAGACUUAUACUACAGCUCAUGGCAAUGCCAGAUCCCUGACCCACUGAGCAAGGCCAGGGAUUGAACCCUCAUUCUCAUGGAUACUAGCUGGGAUUCGUUUUUGCUGUGCCACAAUGGGAACUCCCUGUUAGUAAAUAUUUAAUAAAUGUUGAGUGAACAUUGAACGAGUGAAUGCAUACUUUAUUGAUUCUCUGAUUUCAUCUCUGGAAAUCCCAGUAGAAUCAAGUUUUCCUUGAGAAAAUGAAAUUUACCCCAAGUUCUUCAAGAUAUUCAUUUUCCCCCUUGGAAAUGAACUAAUUUAUAACCCAGUUAUAAAGCAAUAAAAUAAUAUGACUCCUCUCCUCCAAUGUUAACCUGUUUUCCCUCUAUUUGUACUACCAGGAAGCCACCUGAGGGCAGCAAAAAAUCAGUGGUCAGUUCCAAGACAGAGGCCCAUUUUCAAUCCUUCCUCCACCGGCCCUCUCUCCAGCCUAGCUAGUUUUUUCUAGUAAGCACAUGUUAAGGGGCCUAGCUGGACUAUCUGUUGGGUAAGACUGCAAUUAGUAAUCUCAAUUGGAAGUCGGCUCACUUCCUUGGCAUUUUCUGAGCCAGCCGAUUGAAUGAAAACGGAUCCUCUAUUUUUCCUAACAGGAAAUGAACUGAUUUAUAACCCAGUUAUAAAAGUAUAAAAUAGUAUUACUCCUCUCUACUACAUUUUGUUCCUUGAAGUUUUUUUUAAAGAACUGUCUACUUUGAUUUCUGAUCUGCCACCUACCUGCCAGCUUUCAGCCGUAUGACCUCUAGCAGGUGAUAAGAUGAUCUCUUGGGGGUUUUUAAAUAAUUAUUUAUUUUCAUAUUUCCUUAACAAUCAAAAGAGCAUUCUAACCUGGAAUCUUUGAUGUUUAUUCACCUAAACUCAAGCUUUUCCUUUAACUAAAAAACAACAACAACAACAACAACAACAACAAAAUGAGUGGGGAGUUCCCAUUGUGGUUCAGUGGGUUAAGAAUCUGUGAGGAUGGGGAGUUCCCGUUGUGGCGCAGUGGUUAACGAAUCCGACUAGGAACCAUGAGGUUGCGGGUUCGGUCCCUGCCCUUGCUCAGUGGGUUAACGAUCCGGUGUUGCCGUGAGCUGUGGUGUAGGUUGCAGACGCGGCUCGGAUCCCGCGUUGCUGUGGCUCUGGUGUAGGCCGGUGGCUACAGCUCUGAUUCAACCCCUAGCCUGGGAACCUCCAUAUGCCGCGGGAGCGGCCCAAGAAAUAUCAACAACAACAACAACAAAAGACAAAAAGACAAAAAA
rnacentral:lncRNA from 1 species